rfam:Streptomyces zinciresistens K42 contig00003, whole genome shotgun sequence.
CUUGAUCGAUCCGAGCCACAGCGGCAGGUUCUCCGGGCGCUCCUGACCGUAGGUGGCCAGCAGCGCCUGCGCCUC